UUGAGCCUUGAUGUGUAGGAUAGGUGGGAGGCUUUGAAGCGUGGACGCCAGUCUGCGUGGAGCCGACCUUGAAAUACCACCCUUUAAUGUUUGAUGUUCUAACGUGGACCCGUGAUCCGGGUUGCGGACAGUGUCUGGUGGGUAGUUUGACUGGGGCGGUCUCCUCCUAAAGAGUAACGGAGGAGCACGAAGGUUGGCUAAUCCUGGUCGGACAUCAGGAGGUUAGUGCAAUGGCAUAAGCCAGCUUGACUGCGAGCGUGACGGCGCGAGCAGGUGCGAAAGCAGGUCAUAGUGAUCCGGUGGUUCUGAAUGGAAGGGCCAUCGCUCAACGGAUAAAAGGUACUCCGGGGAUAACAGGCUGAUACCGCCCAAGAGUUCAUAUCGACGGCGGUGUUUGGCACCUCGAUGUCGGCUCAUCACAUCCUGGGGCUGAAGUAGGUCCCAAGGGUAUGGCUGUUCGCCAUUUAAAGUGGUACGCGAGCUGGGUUUAGAACGUCGUGAGACAGUUCGGUCCCUAUCUGCCGUGGGCGCUGGAGAACUGAGGGGGGCUGCUCCUAGUACGAGAGGACCGGAGUGGACGCAUCACUGGUGUUCGGGUUGUCAUGCCAAUGGCACUGCCCGGUAGCUAAAUGCGGAAGAGAUAAGUGCUGAAAGCAUCUAAGCACGAAACUUGCCCCGAGAUGAGUUCUCCCUGAGACUUUAAGUCUCCUGAAGGAACGUUGAAGACGAUGACGUUGAUAGGCCGGGUGUGUAAGCGCAGCGAUGCGUUGAGCUAACCGGUACUAAUGAACCGUGAGGCUUAACCUUACAACGCCGAAGCUGUU
rnacentral:rRNA from 1 species